rnacentral:miRNA from 14 species
UGUAUGUGUGUGUGCAUGUGUGUGUGUGCAUGUGUGUAUAUUUGUAUGUGUGUAUGUGUGUGUAUGUGUAUGUAUGUGUGUGUGCAUGUGUAUGUGUGUAUGUGUGUGUGU